rnacentral:hammerhead_ribozyme from 1 species
AGAUAGCUGACGAGUCCCAAACAGGACGAAAUGCGCAUCCUAGAU